AUAAUUUGUAUUAUAAUCAUUUUUAUUCAUGAUUACAUGAUACACUAGAGAUCACUAUUGGCUAUCAUGAUAACUGACAUUUUAAUACUUGAGAUCUGUAUUAAAUUAUAGAAACGACAAGCAAGCCUUGUUUUCAAACAAGUCGGUUGUUUUUUUAAGUAGGUUAUUAUACUUUAUUAAUAGUAAACACAAUAAAAUUAAUUUUAAAUUAAAGUAGGU